CCUACGGGAGGCAGCAGUGAGGAAUCUUGGUCAAUGGACGAGAGUCUGAACCAGCCACGUAGCGUGAAGGAUGACUGCCCUAUGGGUUGUAACCUUCUUUUAUAUGGGAAUAAAACGUUCCACGUGUGGGAUUUUGUAUGUCUCCUUUGAAUAAGGAUCGGCUAACUCCGUGCCAGCAGCCGCGGUAAUCCGGAGGAUCCGAGCGUUAUCCGGAUUUAUUGGGUUUAAAGGGAGCGUAGGUGGAUUGUUAAGUCAGUUGUGAAAGUUUGCGGCUCAACCGUAAAAUUGCAGUUGAAACUGGCAGUCUUGAGUACAGUAGAGGUAGGCGGAAUUCGUGGUGUAGCGGUGAAAUGCUUAGAUAUCACGAAGAACUCCGAUUGCGAAGGCAGUUCACUGGACUGCAACUGACACUGAGGCUCGAAAGUGUGGGUAUCAAACAGGAUUAGAUACCCGGGUAGUC
rnacentral:rRNA from 1 species